rnacentral:rRNA from 1 species
CUUUAUGGCCAUGCCUCCCUGAACAAGCCCAAUCCUGUCUGAUCUUGGAAGCUAAGCAGGGACAGGUCUGGUUAGUACUUGGAUGGGAGACAACCUAGGAAGACCAGGUGCUGUAGAGA